rnacentral:rRNA from 1 species
AGUGAACGCUGGCGGUAGGCCUAACACAUGCAAGUCGAACGGCAGCACAGUAAGAGCUUGCUCUUACGGGUGGCGAGUGGCGGACGGGUGAGGAAUACAUCGGAAUCUACUUUUUCGUGGGGGAUAACGUAGGGAAACUUACGCUAAUACCGCAUACGACCUACGGGUGAAAGCAGGGGAUCUUCGGACCUUGCGCGAUUGAAUGAGCCGAUGUCGGAUUAGCUAGUUGGCGGGGUAAAGGCCCACCAAGGCGACGAUCCGUAGCUGGUCUGAGAGGAUGAUCAGCCACACUGGAACUGAGACACGGUCCAGACUCCUACGGGAGGCAGCAGUGGGGAAUAGUGGACAAUGGGCGCAAGCCUGAUCCAGCCAUACCGCGUGGGUGAAGAAGGCCUUCGGGUUGUAAAGCCCUUUUGUUGGGAAAGAAAAGCAGCAGGUUAAUACCCCGCUGUUCUGACGGUACCAAAAGAAUAAGCACCGGCUAACUUCGUG